CCAGAUCGUGGCUGAUGAAGAGAUAGGUCAGGUUCAGGUCCUGGCGCAGGCGCAUGAACAGGUUCAGCACCUGGGCCUGGA
rnacentral:tRNA from 1 species